GAUGAACGCUGGCGGCGUGCCUAAUACAUGCAAGUCGAGCGAACGGACGAGAAGCUUGCUUCUCUGAUGUUAGCGGCGGACGGGUGAGUAACACGUGGAUAACCUACCUAUAAGACUGGGAUAACUUCGGGAAACCGUAGCUAAUACCGGAUAAUAUUUUGAACCGCAUGGUUCAAAAGUGAAAGACGGUCUUGCUGUCACCUAUAGAUGGAUCCGCGCUGCAUUAGCUAGUUGGUAGGGUAACGGCUUACCAAGGCAACGAUGCAUAGCCGACCUGAGAGGGUGAUCGGCCACACUGGAACUGAGACACGGUCCAGACUCCUACGGGAGGCAGCAGUAGGGAAUCUUCCGCAAUGGGCGAAAGCCUGACGGAGCAACGCCGCGUGAGUGAUGAAGGUCUUCGGAUCGUAAAACUCUGUUAUUAGGGAAGAACAUAUGUGUAAGUAACUGUGCACAUCUUGACGGUACCUAAUCAGAAAGCCACGGCUAACUACGUG
rnacentral:rRNA from 1 species